rnacentral:rRNA from 1 species
GCAGUCGAGCGGUAGAGAGGUGCUUGCACCUCUUGAGAGCGGCGGACGGGUGAGUAAAGCCUAGGAAUCUGCCUGGUAGUGGGGGAUAACGCUCGGAAACGGACGCUAAUACCGCAUACGUCCUACGGGAGAAAGCAGGGGACCUUCGGGCCUUGCGCUAUCAGAUGAGCCUAGGUCGGAUUAGCUAGUUGGUGAGGUAAUGGCUCACCAAGGCGACGAUCCGUAACUGGUCUGAGAGGAUGAUCAGUCACACUGGAACUGAGACACGGUCCAGACUCCUACGGGAGGCAGCAGUGGGGAAUAUUGGACAAUGGGCGAAAGCCUGAUCCAGCCAUGCCGCGUGUGUGAAGAAGGUCUUCGGAUUGUAAAGCACUUUAAGUUGGGAGGAAGGGCGUUAACCUAAUACGUUAGUGUUUUGACGGUACCGACAGAAUAAGCACCGGCUAACUCUGUGCCAGCAGCCGCGGUAAUACAGAGGGUGCCAGCGUUAAUCGGAAUUACUGGGCGUAAAGCGCGCGUAGGUGGUUCGUUAAGUUGGAUGUGAAAUCCCCGGGCUCAACCUGGGAACUGCAUUCAAAACUGUCGAGCUGGAGUAUGGUAGAGGGUGGUGGAAUUUCCUGUGUAGC